GAUGAUCACUUUCAUUCAAACUUCAAAUGUGUUGUGUUGUGUGUGUUUGUAUAGUUAUGUGUGUACACACACACACACAUUCAUUUAAAGUUUGAAUGAAAGUG